CGGGUGCGUAACGCGUAUGCAACCUACCCCUUCCAGGGGGAUAGCCUUCCGAAAGGGAGAUUAACACCGCAUAAGAUAGCUGGAUGGCAUCAUCGGGCUAUGAAAUCUACGGAGGGAAGGGAUGGGCAUGCGUCCGAUUAGCUAGUUGGCGGGGUAGUGGCCCACCAAGGCCACGAUCGGUCGGGGACCUGAGAGGGCGAUCCCCCACACUGGCACUGAGAUACGGGCCAG
rnacentral:rRNA from 1 species